AUAGCACUCUUUAGCCCCUGGGCUGAGAAUUGGAUGCUGUUCUCAGGAACUCGUCUUAAAGACAAUCUUGCGCCGGCUGGUUACGGCAGCCGCUGGACAGAGAGAUGAAGGGCUUGCCCACUUCCUCUGGCCCCAGUGGGUGUUCGGUUGGCGCAAUUGCGCAAGCACUUUAAA
rnacentral:misc_RNA from 1 species